ACAAUCCUACGGGGCGCAGCAGUGAGGAAUAUUGGUCAAUGGUCGGGAGGCUGAACCAGCCAAGCCGCGUGAGGGAGGAAGGUACAGAGUAUCGUAAACCUCUUUUGUCAGGGAACAAAGGCGGGGACGUGUCCCCGGAUGAGUGUACCUGAAGAAAAAGCAUCGGCUAACUCCGUGCCAGCAGCCGCGGUAAUACGGAGGAUGCGAGCGUUAUCCGGAUUUAUUGGGUUUAAAGGGUGCGUAGGCGGGACCUUAAGUCAGCGGUAAAAUUGCGGUGCUCAACGCCGUAGAGCCGUUGAAAAUGG
rnacentral:rRNA from 1 species